GAAACGCGAAAGUUAAUGCGAAUUGCAGAAUCAGUGAGUCAUCGAGUUUUUGAACGCACAUUGCGCCUCUCGGUAUUCCGGGAGGCACGCCUGUUCGAGCGCCAUUUCACACCCCAAGCGAUGCUUGAUGUUGGACGAUGUUGGCCUGUCUGUCGACUCCCGUUGGGGGGUGGAGGGAAAGGACCGACACGUCUGGAACGCGUUGGCGCCGCCGCCGGACCACGAGCGUAGCAAGACGAUGAAAAAAGUCAAGUCGCUUGGUUGGAACCGGACGGACGGUGAUUGCUAGGAAGUUGCUUCCAAACGAAUUUGAAUGGUUUGGCCUCGGAUCAGGCGGGGAUACCCGCUGAACUUAAGC
rnacentral:misc_RNA from 1 species